UAUAAUUAAUGUAUAUAUAUAUAAUUUUAAACCUUGUCAAAACUAGUAUAGACAAGGGGAAUUCCAUUGUUUAAUUAAAACAAAGCAUUGUGAUGAUCCCUAGGGAUGUUGAUGUAAUGUGAUUUAUACCCAGUGAUAUGCAUGUGAAAGUGAAUAAAUUCAACCAAACGUCGAUAAAUAAUGGGAGUAACUAUGACUCUCUUAAGGUAGUCAGAUGCUUAGUCAUCUAAUUAGUGACAUGCAUGAAUGGAUUAACAAGAUUCCCACUGUCCCUAGAUACUAUCUAUAUAAACCACAGCCAACGGAUAUUAG
rnacentral:ncRNA from 1 species